rnacentral:rRNA from 1 species
UAAACGCUGGCGGCGCACAUAAGACAUGCAAGUCGAACGAACUUAAUCCUUAGUUUACUAUAGGAAGCGGUUAGUGGCGGACUGGUGAGUAACGCGUAAGCAAUCUGCCUAUCAGAGGGGGAACAACAGUGAGAAAUCACUGCUAAUACCGCAUAUGCUGUGAGUACGGCAUCGUACAAACAGGAAAGGAGCAAUCCGCUGAUAGAUGAGCUUGCGUCUGAUUAACCUGUUGGUGAGGUAACGGCCCACCAAGGUGAUGAUCAGUAGCCGGACUGAGAGGUUAAACGGCCACAUUGGGACUGAGAUACGGCCCAGACUCCUACGGGAGGCAGCAGUCGGGAAUAUUGCGCAAUGGAGGAAACUCUGACGCAAGUGACGCCGCGUGCAGGAUGAAGGUUUUCGGAUUGUAAACUGCUUUAGAUAGGGAAGAAACAAAUGACGGUACCUAUAGAAUAAGCUCCGGCUAACUACGUGCCAGCCGCAGC